rnacentral:rRNA from 1 species
UACAGAGGGAGCUAGCGUUAUUCGGAAUUACUGGGCGUAAAGCGCACGUAGGCGGCUUUGUAAGUAAGAGGUGAAAGCCUGGAGCUCAACUCCAGAACUGCCUUUUAGACUGCAUCGCUUGAAUCCAGGAGAGGUGAGUGGAAUUCCGAGUGUAGCGGUGAAAUGCGUAGAUAUCAGGAGGAACGCCGGUGGCGAAAGCGACUCUCUGGGCCGCUCCUGACACUGAGGCGCGAGAGCUAGGGGAGCAAACAGG